CCUACGGGAGGCAGCAGUGGGGAAUAUUGGACAAUGGGGGGAACCCUGAUCCAGCCAUGCCGCGUGUGUGAAGAAGGCCCUCGGGUUGUAAAGCACUUUCAGUGAGGAAGAACGCCUGGUGGUUAAUACCCAUCAGGAAAGACAUCACUCACAGAAGAAGCACCGGCUAACUCCGUACCAGCAGCCGCGGUAAUACGGAGGGUGCGAGCGUUAAUCGGAAUUACUGGGCGUAAAGCGCGCGUAGGUGGCUUGAUAAGCCGGUUGUGAAAGCCCCGGGCUCAACCUGGGAACGGCAUCCGGAACUGUCAAGCUAGAGUGCAGGAGAGGAAGGUAGAAUUCCCGGUGUAGCGGUGAAAUGCGUAGAGAUCGGGAGGAAUACCAGUGGCGAAGGCGGCCUUCUGGACUGACACUGACACUGAGGUGCGAAAGCGUGGGUAGCAAACAGGAUUAGAUACCCCAGUAGUC
rnacentral:rRNA from 1 species